rnacentral:sRNA from 1 species
GAGCCCAUACCAGGCGCGGCAGUACGGCCCUGGUGAUGGCGCCGCCGAUCGAGACCCGCGGCGUGAUCGAGGGGGAUCGCCGUU